GGAAUAUUGCACAAUGGAGGAAACUCUGAUGCAGCAACGCCGCGUGGAGGAUGACGCAUUUCGGUGUGUAAACUCCUUUUAUAUAGGAAGAUAAUGACGGUACUAUAUGAAUAAGCACCGGCUAACUCCGUGCCAGCAGCCGCGGUAAUACGGAGGGUGCAAGCGUUACUCGGAAUCACUGGGCGUAAAGCGCAUGCAGGCGGUUUAUUAAGUUGGAAGUGAAAUCCUAUGGCUCAACCAUAGAACUGCUUCCAAAACUGAUAAACUAGAGUCUGGGAGGGGAAGAUGGAAUUAGUAGUGUAGGGGUAAAAUCCGUAGAGAUUACUAGGAAUACCAAAAGCGAAGGCGAUCUUCUGGAACAGUACUGACGCUGAGAUGCGAAAGCGUGGGGAGCAAACAGGAUUAGAUACCCUGGUAGUCCACGCAGUAAACGAUGAAUGUUAGUCGUUGGGACUCUAGUAGUUUCAGUGAUGCAGUUAACACAUUAAACAUUCCGCCUGGGGAGUACGGUCGCAAGAUUAAAACUCAAAGGAAUAGACGGGGACCCGCACAAGUGGUGGAGCAUGUGGUUUAAUUCGAAGAUACGCGAAGAACCUUACCUAGCCUUGACAUACUACAGAAUUUGACAGAGAUGUUGAAGUGCCUUCGGGAGCUGUAAUACAGGUGCUGCACGGCUGUCGUCAGCUCGUGUCGUGAGAUGUUGGGUUAAGUCCCGCAACGAGCGCAACCCUCGUCCUUAGUUACUAACGGUUCGGCCGAGGACUCUAAGGAGACUGCCUUCGUAAGGAGGAGGAAGGUGAGGACGACGUCAAGUCAUCAUGGCCCUUACGGCUAGGGCAACACACGUGCUACAAUGGUUAGGACAAUGAGAAGCGAUACCGUGAGGUGGAGCAAAUCUAUAAACCUAAUCUCAGUUCGGAUAGCAGUCUGCAACUCGACUGCUUGAAGCUGGAAUCACUAGUAAUCGUAAAUCAGCUAUGUUACGGUGAAUACGU
rnacentral:rRNA from 1 species